rnacentral:rRNA from 1 species
UACGAAGGGGGCUAGCGUUGUUCGGAAUUACUGGGCGUAAAGGGCGCGCAGGCGGCUCUUCAAGUCAGAUGUGAAAGCCCCGGGCUCAACCUGGGAACUGCAUUUGAGACUGGAGAGCUUGAGUUCGGGAGAGGAUGGUGGAAUUCCCAGUGUAGAGGUGAAAUUCGUAGAUAUUCGGAAGAACACCAGUGGCGAAGGCGGCUCACUGGACGACUGAUGACGCUGAGGUGCGAAAGCGUGGGGAGCAAACAGG